rnacentral:rRNA from 1 species
CCUACGGGAGGCAGCAGUGAGGAAUAUUGGUCAAUGGGCGCGAGCCUGAACCAGCCAAGUCGCGUGAGGGAGGACGGCCCUACGGGUUGUAAACUUCUUUUAUAAAGGAAUAAAGUGAGGCACGUGUGCCUUUUUGUAUGUACUUUAUGAAUAAGGAUCGGCUAACUCCGUUCCAGCAGCCGCGGUAAUACGGAGGAUCCGAGCGUUAUCCGGAUUUAUUGGGUUUAAAGGGAGCGUAGAUGGGUUGUUAAGUCAGUUGUGAAAGUUUGCGGCUCAACCGUAAAAUUGCAAUUGAUACUGGCAGCCUUGAGUACAGUUAAGGUAGGCGGAAUUCGUGGUGUAGCGGUGAAAUGCUUAGAUAUCACGAAGAACUCCGAUUGCGAAGGCAGCUUACUAAACUGCCACUGACAUUGAUGCUCGAAAGUGUGGGUAUCAAACAGGAUUAGAUACCCCGGUAGUC